GAAAUAGAAAAAAUUAAAUUUCUAAUUUAAUUAAGAAUAUAAUAUAUUCCUAUUUUU
rnacentral:tRNA from 1 species